UCCCUGGUGGUCCAGUGGCUAAGACUCUGUGCUCCCAAUGCAGAGGGCUCGGGUUCAAUCCCUGGCCAGAAAA
rnacentral:tRNA from 1 species